GUUGAAAUUGAGAAACAGCCCUGGCUGUCCAAGAUUAAUUUUUAUACUGAGCCGUAAAGCUGACAAAAACUGCUGGAUUUUGUAGCAUGGAUUGAUUGAUGACUUUUCAAAUGCUGUGGCCUGAAGAGAAAGAAUAUUGUCUUCAAAUUUUAUUCCCUUGUUGUUGAACACUACACAUGAGGAUGCCACUUGUUCCCAUGUAACCAUUAGCCAAAGCUGCAGUAAGAAACUUAAGAGACUCUCCAGAUCUUUAUUUAUAGAGGUAUGACUUUCAACUUGUGUUGCCAUUCAAGUGAUUUAAGCUGCCAAUGGGGGUGAC